CCCUUAGAUGUUCUGGGCCGCACGCGCGCUACACUGACGAAUGCAACGAGCUUAUAACCUUGGCCGAAAGGUCUGGGUAAUCUCCAAAUUUCGUCGUGAUGGGGAUAGAUUAUUGCAAUUAUUAAUCUUCAACGAGGAAUGCCUAGUAAGCGCAAGUCAUCAGCUUGCGUUGAUUACGUCCCUGCCCUUUGUACACACCGCCCGUCGCUCCUACCGAUUGAGUGUCCUGGUGAAUUAUUCGGACCGACAGCAUCGGAAGUUUCUUCUGUUGCCGUUGGAAAGUCUUGUAAACCCUGACACUUAGAGGAAGCAGAAGUCGUAACA
rnacentral:rRNA from 1 species